AGUCACUGACAUUAGAUACCCGGGUAGUCCCAGCCGUAAACAAUGUGCGUUAGGUGUGUCGGUAACCACGUGUUACUGAUGCGCCGAAGAGAAAUCGUGAAACGCACCACCUGGGAAGUACGGUCGCAAGGCUGAAACUUAAAGGAAUUGGCGGGGAGCACCACAACAGGUGGAGCCUGCGGUUUAAUUGGAUUCAACGCCGGACAUCUCACCGGAUAAGACAGCUGAAUGAUUGCCGGGCUGAAGACUCUGCAUGACUAGCUG
rnacentral:rRNA from 1 species